rnacentral:rRNA from 1 species
UUAAGCGACUAAGCGUACACGGUGGAUGCCCUGGCAGUCAGAGGCGAUGAAGGACGUGCUAAUCUGCGAAAAGCGUCGGUAAGGUGAUAUGAACCGUUAUAACCGGCGAUGUCCGAAUGGGGAAACCCAGUGCAAUUCGUUGCACUAUCGUUAACUGAAUACAUAGGUUAACGAGGCGAACCGGGGGAACUGAAACAUCUAAGUACCCCGAGGAAAAGAAAUCAACCGAGAUUCCCCCAGUAGCGGCGAGCGAACGGGGAGCAGCCCAGAGUCUGAAUCAGCUUGUGUGUUAGUGGAACGGUCUGGAAAGUCCGACGGUACAGGGUGAUAGUCCCGUACACCAAAAUGCACAGGUUGUGAACUCGAAGAGUAGGGCGGGACACGUGGUAUCCUGUCUGAAUAUGGGGGGACCAUCCUCCAAGGCUAAAUACUCCUGACUGACCGAUAGUGAACCAGUACCGUGAGGGAAAGGCGAAAAGAACCCCGGCGAGGGGAGUGAAAAAGAACCUGAAACCGUGUACGUACAAGCAGUGGGAGCACCUUCGGGUGUGACUGCGUACCUUUUGUAUAAUGGGUCAGCGACUUAUAUUCUGUAGCAAGGUUAACCGUAUAGGGGAGCCGCAGGGAAACCGAGUCUUAACUGGGCGUUAAGUUGCAGGGUAUAGACCCGAAACCCGGUGAUCUAGCCAUGGGCAGGUUGAAGGUUGGGUAACACUAACUGGAGGACCGAACCGACUAAUGUUGAAAAAUUAGCGGAUGACUUGUGGCUGGGGGUGAAAGGCCAAUCAAACCGGGAGAUAGCUGGUUCUCCCCGAAAGCUAUUUAGGUAGCGCCUCGUGAAUUCAUCUUCGGGGGUAGAGCACUGUUUCGGCUAGGGGGUCAUCCCGACUUACCAACCCGAUGCAAACUACGAAUACCGAAGAAUGUUAUCACGGGAGACACACGGCGGGUGCUAACGUCCGUCGUGAAGAGGGAAACAACCCAGACCGCCAGCUAAGGUCCCAAAGUCAUGGUUAAGUGGGAAACGAUGUGGGAAGGCACAGACAGCCAGGAUGUUGGCUUAGAAGCAGCCAUCAUUUAAAGAAAGCGUAAUAGCUCACUGGUCGAGUCGGCCUGCGCGGAAGAUGUAACGGGGCUAAACCAUGCACCGAAGCUGCGGCAGCGACACUAUGUGUUGUUGGGUAGGGGAGCGUUCUGUAAGCCUGCGAAGGUGACCUGUGAGGGUUGCUGGAGGUAUCAGAAGUGCGAAUGCUGACAUAAGUAACGAUAAAGCGGGUGAAAAGCCCGCUCGCCGGAAGACCAAGGGUUCCUGUCCAACGUUAAUCGGGGCAGGGUGAGUCGACCCCUAAGGCGAGGCCGAAAGGCGUAGUCGAUGGGAAACAGGUUAAUAUUCCUGUACUUGGUGUUACUGCGAAGGGGGGACGGAGAAGGCUAUGUUAGCCGGGCGACGGUUGUCCCGGUUUAAGCAUGUAGGCUGAUUGUCCAGGCAAAUCCGGAUAAUCAAGGCUGAGGUGUGAUGACGAGGCACUACGGUGCUGAAGUAACAAAUGCCCUGCUUCCAGGAAAAGCCUCUAAGCAUCAGGUAACAUUAAAUCGUACCCCAAACCGACACAGGUGGUCAGGUAGAGAAUACCAAGGCGCUUGAGAGAACUCGGGUGAAGGAACUAGGCAAAAUGGUGCCGUAACUUCGGGAGAAGGCACGCUGGUGUGUAGGUGAAGUCCCUGCGGAUGGAGCUGAGACCAGUCGAAGAUACCAGCUGGCUGCAACUGUUUAUUAAAAACACAGCACUGUGCAAACACGAAAGUGGACGUAUACGGUGUGACGCCUGCCCGGUGCCGGAAGGUUAAUUGAUGGGGUUAUCCGUAAGGAGAAGCUCUUGAUCGAAGCCCCGGUAAACGGCGGCCGUAACUAUAACGGUCCUAAGGUAGCGAAAUUCCUUGUCGGGUAAGUUCCGACCUGCACGAAUGGCGUAAUGAUGGCCAGGCUGUCUCCACCCGAGACUCAGUGAAAUUGAAC